ACAUCACACUCCAGGUUUUAGCUCUCUGAUUGCUCUGGCUCAUUAUCUUCUGCUGUCUCUUAUUCCACUAUGUGCAGGAUUUGGGGACCUGAUGUUCAGUUAAGAAAGUGAAGUUUGAUAUACAGGAGAAGCAUUUGACAAAUCCUAAUAGAGCCACACACUACAAAAACUGGACCAAUACUUCCUCAAAUUGUCAAUGUCAUCGAAAACAAGGAAAGCUUGAGAAACUGUCACAGUCAAGAAGAGACACAGGAGAGAUGUCUAACUUGCGAUGUGGUUUCUGGGUGACAGGAAGCUGUCCAGAAGCCAGGAGUCCCGGCCAGGAUCCAUCAGGAACUGCCGGCUGGCGCUGGAUCUCGGUCUGCACUCCAAGCCAGGAGAGGGAAGCUCUGCCACAGGAAAUGAGAUAAUGCAUCUACAUACUCAUUUAUCUUCUCGGGAAAAUACAUUACGCAAAGAUACAUUUUUAUGCCCUAGACAUUUUAAAAGACACACAGCAGUUACACUUGUUUUGUCCUUAUCUUUGGUGUUACUGAUACACAAUCAUAAUUAUGAUGGCUAAUAUGUUAUGUGUAAGAAAAUAGUCUUGCUCCCAGUUUUCUACAAAAAAUAGUCCAAAAAUUUUUUUUCUACAGAAGAGACAGCAAGGUACAGAAGAGGGUACUAGGUGCUAUAGGGUUAGAAGACCUAGAUGUACCAUUUAAAACCUACUGACUGAUCGAGUCCCUUAGCUACAGUUAAUUAUCUAUUAAAUGGAGAAAGGAAAACUCUCCAGUGGACAGGAAUUUUGAGAUGACUAAAUUAGACACUGCUAUACUUUAGAUCUGAGAUGUCUCCCAAACGACUCACAUGUUCAGAGGUGGGGUUCGUGGAAGGUGAUUGCAUCCCAAGGUCACUAGUGCAUCAGUGGAUUAAUCCACUGAUGAAGUCGUAGCUAAUUUUGCUGUUACAAAGUGGAGCCUAGUUGCAAGAGGCAGGUCACUGUGGGAGUGAGGCGGAAGGAUACAUCUCGGUCGUCCCAGCUCCUUCAGUCACUCUUUGCACCUGCUCACCAUGAUGUGUGCAGCUUUCCUCUGCUAUGUCCCUCUGCCAUCCUGUUUCUUUCUUGGAGGUCUGAAGUACAGACUGAAGCUACUGACACAUGAACAAAAACAAACCUCUCUCCCUCUAAGCUGUGGGGCUUGAGUAUUUUGCCCUAGUGAAAAGAAAGGAACUAAGACAGGUACUGUGAAAGAAACUAUAACACACAUAGUUAUAGUGCCUUCCAAAACUAUAACUCACGUAGAGUUAACCUAGCCAGCCACUGGUAGCAGAUUGAUUUUUUAUUUCCCUCCUUCCAGUUGUCAUGUCAAAAGCAAGUAUUAUUUAAAAUGUAAAAAGAGGUAUUGACAUUGCUGGCCGAAUUGAGUCAGAGUUCAAAGUUUCAAUUCACAUUGGUCAGUUUAUGUAUUUAUGGGAGAACUUCCCUUUAAUGGAAAGAUUCCAUUAGCCUAGGGACAGCCAACAGUCAGCCAUAGACAUGAUUUCCUGUUUACCUUGAAGUGGAAAUUGUGGUUUGUUGUUAAUGAUUCAAGGAAGUGCUAGUCCUUGGUGAAGUGACCUCAUUUAAACAGAGCAGAAUAUGAGAAAGAACAAUUUGUGAUUUUCACUGAUGUAUAUUUUACAGAAAACUGGAUAGAUUCAUGAAUGUAAUGAUUGAAAACUUCUUUCACUAAUUUAUUUUUUUCUUUCAUGAAUGCUUAUUGACUUAUGUUUGAGGCUUUGUCUAGGGAUUGGUAAUGACAACAAGAAACAAGAUUUAGUAAUUCCUUUCAAGGAGUUGAUACGCUGGUUUAGAAAGUAAAUAAAGAAAUCUGUGACUAUAAGCAGAAUGUGAUGGGGCUACAGAAGAGGUCCUGGGCUGUACACUCCACCAAAGCCCAGGAUCCCCAGAGUCAUCUCAGUCCCCUGCACCAUGGAGGCAGGAAGAGCUUUGGCAAGUAAGCUGCUCCCAGACUGGACCGGUGGCACCUCUGCUAUACCCUGAGAUGCCUCCCAUGUGCUCUUCCCUGGAAUUCUUUCCUGUUACACUCUCUGAGGGUCUUUAGCCAGUUUAAGGCAGGAGGCCACUAUAAAGUCUCCUAUACCUAUGUCUUCGUUCAAACGUUACUGGCGUACAGCUGGAUGUACUUUCGAAAAUAAAAAUCUGAGAGUUCUA